CUUGUACAUGUACUUGUAGUAUUGCUCCUGGCACAGGGCUAUAAACGGCACCUUAACUAAAGAAGACCCAUUUGCACUAAAGAAGGCACAAUGUCCUGGAGUUUACCUGGAGAGAGUUUCGGGGGUCAACGCCCCCGCGGCCCGGUCUGUGACCAGGCCUCCUGGUGGAUCAGCGCCUGAUCAUAGUCCUGGCCCACAAUGUAGUUGUAAACUGUACCAGACUUGCUACCAUUAUCUUUCGGUAAGAAACUCCUUCAGGAGCUAGGAAGGGGGUCACUGUUUGGAAAAAAAACAGUAUGAGGACAAUGUUCCUGACUAAUAUACUAAAAGUAGCUACUCCAAAGUCCAGUGCCCAUUCACUCUCCCCACAGGAUGGGUAUGGGAUGCAUAAUGAAGAUGAUAAUAAUAAUAAUGAUGUUCAUUUCUACAUGUACAAGGUAUACAGACCAUAGCUGACAUCAAUGAUAUACUAUUUUAUAGAAAGUCACUUGUUAUUCUGAGCAUUUCCAGCAAAUUAGGUCAAUUUUGUCCCAGGAUGCGACCCAAACCAGUUGACUAAUACCCAGGUACCUAUUUUACUGCUAGUUGAACAUGGACAGCAGGUGUCUUAAGGAAACACGUCUUAACAUUAUCGAGCCCCGGCCCUCAGUGUGUGAAGCGAGAGCGUUGCCUACCAGGCCACGGGCCACAUAAUGGAAUGGAUUGAAACCAGAAGAGUAGUUACCAUCUUCGUCACUAGAACAUAUUAAGACAGGCACCUAAAGUCAGUACCUGAUCAGCCGGGCUGUGGUUCGUACGUCGGUUUACGUGCGGCCAACAGUAACAGCCUGGUUGAUCAGGACCUGAUCCACCACCAGGCCUGGUCUCAGACCGGGCGGCGGGGGCACUGACCCCCGAAACCCUCUCCAGGUAUACUCAAGGUAAUCCAUGAUGACCUUUUUCAUAUCCUUGAUGACAUUAUGUUAUGUCUUCAAAGUCUUGUACACAUCAAUAUAUUGUUACAGUCAGUACACAAGGAUAUUAAAAAUAUAUAAUAGAGUCUUUAUUUAUAUGUUAUUUAUGAGCCAAGAGUCAAAAUUCAGAUAAAAAAUGUCUCGUUUAGUUUCAAGCCAAACUUAUAUAAAAAACAGAUAUGACAGCCCAAAAGGAGAGGGAGUAUUAAGGCACACCAAUUAUUUAAAGUACAGAGCGGUCCAACAGCUAGCGCUCGACCCACGGCAAAACCUCAGAUGGUGGCACAGGUGGCCUCAGAGAACUUCAUACAUCAGUUGGCUUCAGACGACCCCAGCUGGAUCCAAAUGAUCUCAAGUGACUUAAGAUACGUCGAGGUGCCUCCAAAAGAUGUUACUUGACCUUCAGUGAGCCUAAACUGGCGCAGGUAAGGUCGGGGAGAAAGCUGCAGCUGCAGCUUGGUAUUUUGCAACCAACUUUGCAACUGCAGGAGGCAUGG